GAGGGAGGAGGGAAGAAAAAUACACAGGAAGCAGGGAAUGAGGGAGGGAAGCAAGAAAGAAGGGUGAUUUCUCCUAAGCUUCCCCAAAAUAAAAUCCUUUCUUCCACGAACUGUCCAUACGUAGAGGAUGUAUCUUCUGCUUCUCAUUUGCAGUCCGUGUCUUUGCUAAUCUCAGCGAGCUGUAUUCUUGUUUGUAAUUUACGUUUUCCAGUGGGGCCAAAACAUUGUCCAUCCACUGGCCUGCCUUCCUUCCUUGAUAAAUGGAAACUAUGCUUGUAAUCUCUCAAGCUGAAAACUUGGGAGACCACUUGAAUUCUCUUUUAUAACCUAGAUCUUCUCCGUCAAAAAAUCCCAUUAGAUCUAUCUACAAAAUAUAUGUAGACUUCAGUUUUUUGUUUGUUGGUUUUUCAUGUCAUCCCCGGUGCCACCCUGGUCCAGUGCACCGUCCUCUCUCCCAGAUCAUUGCAGUAGCUUCCGAACAGCGUGUCUUUUUCCAUCCCUGAGAGCCUGUGCUCCACAGAUCAGUGAGUGUGGUCUUUUUUAAAAUAUAGGUUGGCUUAAGGAGUAUGAUCUUUUUAAAAAUGUAAGUUAGAUCGUGUCGUAUUCUGCCCAAAUCCCUCUACUGUUCCAGAUCAAUGACUGUAAAGGCCAAGCUCCUAAAAUGAUCCUGUCCCCUGUGCCUGAACACUCUCGUCCCAGAGGUCAGCAAGCCCUCCUUCUGCAUCAUCUCUGGGCCUCUGCUCAGGUGUCAUCUAAUCACACGCCUUCUAUCAGGUACCCAUACAGCCUCCCCUCCAACUGAUGAAUUUCCCCAUAGCUCAUCUAUCCACCUGAUAAAUCGCAUUAAUAGUAAUAACAGCAGGUGUUUCUAUGAUUUUAUGUUCCAUACACUGUUCUAAGAACGUUAGCUAUAUUAACUCGCUUAAUCCUCAUAACAACAAGAGGAGACAGUUUUAUUAUCUUCAUUUUCCAUGUGGGGAACUUGAGGCCUGCCGAUAUGCAAAGUUCAUCCUAGACUACAGAGCAAUAAAGUAGCAGAGCAGAGAUUCAGAGGCUCGCUGUUUGUCUCCAGCAUCUGUGCUCUUGUCCAGUUGGUGUUAGAGCUUCUCAUAGUGUAGAUAAUUCCACUGUUUAUUGCUUGUAUUCCCCUGCAAGAAUGGAAACCUUGGGAAGACAGAGAAUUAUUAUUUUAUUUAUUACCAUAUUACAGUUCUUGCAAUAGUCCUGGCUCACAAGAGAUCCUUAAUACAUAUUUGCUAAGGAAUGAUUCUCUGCCGUCACUCACUGUCCCUCUGUCUAAACUUCAUGGCUUUGUCUAUGAGCCUGUUUAAUUCCAGCUUGAUUGGUGUUAUAUCCUCCACUAUAUGGACAGUUCUUUGAAAUCGAAGAUAUACAUAUAUGUGUGUGUGUGUGUGUGUGUGUGUGUGUAUUUUUUAGGUCCACACCUGCAUCAUAUGGAGGGUCCCAGGCUAGGGGUCAAAUUGGACCUGCAGCUGCUGGCCUACACCACAGCAACAGCACCACUAGAUCCGAGGCGCAUCUCUGACCUAUGUCACAGCCACAGCAAUGCCAGAUCCUUGGCCCACUGAGAGAGGCUAGGUAUCGAACCUACAUCCUCACGGAUACUAGUUUGGUUCGUUACCACUGAGCCACAGUGGGAACUCCUGUCACUGAAGACAUUCUUGACGUUCUCUGUUGACUAUAACACAUCUUUUCACAUGAUAUGCUCAUCUUGUUCUCAUCCUAAACAGAUACAUUCAUCAGGAAGAAGAUAUUUUGCAAGACUAGGAAUUGAGUAGCAGUAGGCAAAGGACAUAUCUGUAGGAAUACACCCUAAUAAUUCCCAGUGUUGGCUCUGUGCUCUCUACCUCUGAAAGAAACUAAGGGUGAUUUUAAACAUCAAAUAAUCAGGAUUUGAUUCUGAGCAGAGUUUUAUUAUAUUUUACUCAAGUGGAGUAUGAAAAGAAACUUUUCAAACCAUCUGCAAUUGGAUAGAUUCUUUUGUCAUGAUUUUGUUUUCACUAUAUGAAAAUAUGUUUAAUUCCCAAAGGAAAUCUGAAGAACUCUGUUAUUUUCUAAGUAUCCUUACAUUUAAUCUAAACUGUAUAUAAUGCACUAAAAAUGUAUGGUCAAUAUUUUUAUGCACGGCACGUUUUGAACAUUCUUAUGAAAAAUUAUUGGAAUAUGCAGUUUAGUAACUGCAGUUGUAAAGAAUAAGAACCUAAGAAUCUAACCAGAUUAAAAGUCAAUUUAGUGAGACUUUGUUACAUUUUCUUCAUUUCCUAAUGGUUUGUAGGUGUACACUUUAGUUAAUGGAUAGGUGUGCUAAGUAAUAAUUUCUCAUGCAAUGGUUAUUCUGUUGACAAUAUGAAAAUGCUUUCAUAUCGCCUGUGGAACAAUUUCAUAAUGAAAUCACACUGACUUUCAUGAGUUCUGCAGACAAAAUGAACUUCUGUGACAAGUGACUUUAUAAUUGCUGGCCUUUUAAAUUACUUUUACAAGUCAUUUGGCAAACCUUAUUAACAGAGAGAUAUAGGACAUAAUAUUUUCAGUGAUACUGUUAUUAUUAGAAAGGAGCUAACAUUGAUUAUCUAAACUUAAAUAGAUAUCCUUUGUUGAGAAUAGAACCAUCUUUCAAAAAUUUUAGAAUACACUUUUUGUUAGAUAUUAAAUCAGGAGACUCUUACCAUUUUUUCCCCUCUGUGUGCUGGACAUUAGUGCUGGGUAAUUUACAUGCAUACAGCAAAUAUAUGAGAUUAAGAUAAUUAUCAUGAUUUUACAAAUGAAGACUACAUGACUCUGAGGUAUUAGUUAUCUUGCAUCAAACCACAUAUAUGUGGUAUCUAGGAUUUAAAUCUGAUCAGACUCUAAACUUGCCUGACUAAUGCUGAAAACUAAUGUUAAUAAAUGAAUAUUUUAACACAUUUUAUAAGAUGAUGAAAAGUAACCUGUUCAGCUCACAAUUUAGUGGCCGGGAGAGCUCCCCCACCUGGAGUGUAACUGAGCUAGGGUGUCAGUGCUGCCCUCUUGAGGCCAUCACCCUUAGUGCCUCCCCUGAGGUCAACUUCCCAUGCACAGCUUCCAGCCAAUUACUGAGCGUAGUAACUUGUUCCCCUCUGAGGCUGACAUUGGCCAUAGACCUCAGAGUGAUCUGCCUUUCCUGUCUUCAUCACUCAGGGUCAGACCUACCCUUCCUGACUUCUACAGACCUCUCCAUUUUCCCUCUUAUGUUUGUUUCCUAAUAAAACGCUCAUACACUUAAUUCUGCCCUGGCAUUUGCUUCUGGCAUUUAAUUCUGCCCAGACUAACAUGCAAACCAUUCAUUUAAUAAACCCAGUGAUUUCUGGACCCUACAGAUCUUUCUCAACUUUUGAUGGGGUUACUUCCUGAUAACGUGCUGUCAGUUAAAAUGUCAUAAAUCGAAAAUGAUUUAAUAUUACCAAACAUCCAACUUACCAAACAUCCUCUCUGAGCCUAGCUGAACCUAUAUUUGACUGGAACCCUUACAUUAGCCCAUAGUUGGACAAAACCAUCUAACACAAAGCCUAUUUUAUAAUAAAAUGUUGAGUAUCUCAUGGAAUUUAUUGAAUGCUGUCCUGAAAGUGAAAAGCAGCAUAGCGGGCUGGUGGUUGCAGAGUGGUUGUAAGUGUAGUGGUGGUUCAUGCUCAUGAUGGCUGGGCUGCCCGGGAGCUGCUGCUGCUGCUGCAUCAUGAGAUAGUGUCGCAUCAUGCAGCCCAGGAAGAGAUCCAAGUGUAGUUUCUACUGAAUACAUACCCCUCUCUCACCACAGAGAAGUCAGAAAAUCCUUUAGUGGAACUGUCGGUCAGGGACCAUCUGCAGUCUGUUCUUCCUCUGCUGACCUCGCUUGAGAUGGCCAGCUUCUACCUCUAUAUGCCCAGUUUGCAUCCUUUCUUUUAAUGUAAGUUGUAGCUUAAAGGAGAACUGACCUCGGUCUCCUUUAAUCCAAGGCUGUUACCUUCCUCUGGAGUCCUCUGGUAAUUUAUAUGUACCAUUCUGUGAAAGCUUGACUUACUAGCUUGUUCCAGAGAAAGGUGAGUACAUGUCUUGUUACUUCUGUUAAUUUAAAAAAAUCUAUAGGAGUUCCCGUUGGGCUUCGCAAGUUGAGGACCUGACAUUUGUCUCCAUGAUGAUGUAGAUUUGAUUCCUGCUUUUGCUCAGCGGGUUAAGGAUCCAGUGUUGCUGCAAGUUGUAGCACAGAUUGUAGAUGUGGCUCAGAUCUGGUGUUGCUGUGGCUGUGGU
rnacentral:lncRNA from 1 species